AGAUUGAACGCUGGCGGCAGGCCUAACACAUGCAAGUCGAGCGGCAGCGGGAAAGUAGCUUGCUACUUUUGCCGGCGAGCGGCGGACGGGUGAGUAAUGCCUGGGAAAUUGCCCAGUCGAGGGGGAUAACAGUUGGAAACGACUGCUAAUACCGCAUACGCCCUACGGGGGAAAGCAGGGGACCUUCGGGCCUUGCGCGAUUGGAUAUGCCCAGGUGGGAUUAGCUAGUUGGUGAGGUAAUGGCUCACCAAGGCGACGAUCCCUAGCUGGUCUGAGAGGAUGAUCAGCCACACUGGAACUGAGACACGGUCCAGACUCCUACGGGAGGCAGCAGUGGGGAAUAUUGCACAAUGGGGGAAACCCUGAUGCAGCCAUGCCGCGUGUGUGAAGAAGGCCUUCGGGUUGUAAAGCACUUUCAGCGAGGAGGAAAGGUCAGUAGCUAAUAUCUGCUGACUGUGACGUACUCGCAGAAGAAGCACC
rnacentral:rRNA from 1 species